rnacentral:pre_miRNA from 1 species
CUCUUGUCACUACCUCUUAAAAUGCAAUUGACAAUAUUUGGAGAAACGUGUAAAUAAAACAAUUUGCAUCUCAGAAUUUUGUGUGGGUGUAAGAGGUGUAUUGCCAUAUG